AUAUUCUUCUGAAGCUGAAUGAAACUUCUCCAUGGAUUUUCUACUGGCCAUGGAAUUUUGUGAGGCAGUAUUAUAUUGCCCAUACUUUGAAAGUUCAUCAGAAUUCCUAGUGGGUUUCCCACAUAGGCUACUCACACAUCGGGAUCGGAAUGUUUUCACAAGUAACUUCAGCUUAAGGGAAAAAGCACUCCUGACUACAGCAAAACUCAUUUCGGGAAUAAACAAAAUCACAGGUCUUGGACGGAAGGAAACUGUCUGAAGUACUCCCACCCCACAGCUGCAUGCUGGAAACAUAUAAGCCCAUCAUUAGAUCUCCAUCUUUCUGACUCUGAGAAAAGCCUGAUAAAGAGCUGGUUUGAGUCUCA